ensembl:snRNA U6 U6 spliceosomal RNA
GUGCUUGCUACGGCAGCACAUAUACUAAAAUUGGAUCGAUACAGAGAAGAUUAGCAUGGCCCCUGCAAAUCCGUGAAGCGCUCCAUAUUUUU